AAAUCUGGCCCCCCUCUGGGGGGUCCGAGUUGUAAUUUGCAGAGGGCGCUUUGGCAUCGGCGGCGGUCUAAGUUCCUUGGAACAGGACAUCGCAGAGGGUGAGAAUCCCGUACGUGGGCGCCUGCCUUUGCCGUGUAAAGCCCCUUCGACGAGUCGAGUUGUUUGGGAAUGCAGCUCUAAAUGGGAGGUAAAUUUCUUCUAAAGCUAAAUACCGGCCAGAGACCGAUAGCGCACAAGUAGAGUGAUCGAAAGAUGAAAAGUACUUUGGAAAGAGAGUCAAAUAGCACGUGAAAUUGUUGAAAGGGAAGCGCUUGCAGCCAGACGUGCGCGCGGUUGCUCACCCCGGCUCUCGCCUGGGGCACUCUUCCGCGCGCAGGCCAGCAUCAGUUCGGGCGGUCGGAUAAAGGCCUCUGUCAAGUACCUUCCCCCGGGAAGGCCUUAUAGGGGAGGCGCAAUGCGACCAGCCCGGACUGAGGUCCGCGCAUCUGCUAGGAUGCUGGCGUAAUGGCUGUAAGCGGCCCGUCUUGAAACACGGACCAAGGAGUCUAACAUCUAUGCGAGUGUUUGGGUGUCAAGCCCGGGCGCGCAAUGAAAGUGAACGGAGGUGGGAUCCCCUUCCGGGGUGCACCAUCGACCGAUCCUGAUGUCUUCGGAUGGAUUUGAGUAAGAGCAUAGCUGUUGGGACCCGAAAGAUGGUGAACUAUGCUUGAAUAGGGUGAAGCCAGAGGAAACUCUGGUGGAGGCUCGCAGCGGUUCUGACGUGCAAA
rnacentral:rRNA from 1 species